AACGAACGCUGGCGGCAGGCCUAACACAUGCAAGUCGAACGCUCUAGCAAUAGAGAGUGGCAGACGGGUGAGUAACGCGUGGGAACCUUCCCUGUGGUGCGGAAUAACUCGCCGAAAGGCGUGCUAAUACCGCAUAAGCCCGCAAGGGGAAGAUUUAUCGCCAUAGGAUGGGCCCGCGUAGGAUUAGCUAGUUGGUGAGGUAAUGGCUCACCAAGGCGACGACCUUAGCUGGUUUGAGAGAAUGACCAGCCACACUGGGACUGAGACACGGCCCAGACUCCUACGGGAGGCAGCAGUGGGGAAUCUUGGACAAUGGGCGCAAGCCUGAUCCAGCCAUGCCGCGUGAGUGGCGAAGGCCUUCGGUUGU
rnacentral:rRNA from 1 species